rnacentral:rRNA from 1 species
UCUUGACCUCAGAUCAGGCAAGGCUAACCGCUGAAUUUAA